GUGAACGCUGGCGGUAGGCCUAACACAUGCAAGUCGAACGGCAGCACAGUAAGCGCUUGCUCUUACGGGUGGCGAGUGGCGGACGGGGGAGGAAUACAUCGGAAUCUACUUUUUCGUGGGGGAUAACGUAGGGAAACUUACGCUAAUACCGCAUACGACCUACGGGUGAAAGCAGGGGAUCUUCGGACCUUGCGCGAUUGAAUGAGCCGAUGUCGGAUUAGCUAGUUGGCGGGGUAAAGGCCCACCAAGGCGACGAUCCGUAGCUGGUCUGAGAGGAUGAUCAGCCACACUGGAACUGAGACACGGUCCAGACUCCUACGGGAGGCAGCAGUGGGGAAUAUUGGACAAUGGGCGCAAGCCUGAUCCAGCCAUACCGCGUGGGUGAAGAAGGCCUUCGGGUUGUAAAGCCCUUUUGUUGGGAAAGAAAAGCAGCAGGUUAAUACCCCGCUGUUCUGACGGUACCCAAAGAAUAAGCACCGGCUAACUUCGUG
rnacentral:rRNA from 1 species